UACAGAGGUCUCAAGCGUUGUUCGGAUUCAUUGGGCGUAAAGGGUGCGUAGGCGGGCAGGUAAGUCAGUGGUGAAAUCUCCGGGCUUAACCCGGAAACUGCCGUUGAUACUAUCUGUCUUGAAUAUUGUGGAGGUAAGCGGAAUAUGUCAUGUAGCGGUGAAAUGCUUAGAUAUGACAUAGAACACCAAUUGCGAAGGCAGCUUACUACACAGUUAUUGACGCUGAGGCACGAAAGCGUGGGGAUCAAACAGG
rnacentral:rRNA from 1 species